rnacentral:rRNA from 1 species
CUUGGUGUGAAUUGCAGAAUCCCGUGAACCAUCGAGUUUUUGAACGCAAGUUGCGCCCAAAGCCAUUAGGCUAAGGGCACGUCUGCCUGGGCGUCACAC